rnacentral:lncRNA from 10 species
UGCAUUUUCAAAAUUAUUUAGUUUAUUUUUUAUUUAUGUGCUAUUUGGAAGUGAGUACUUAAAUCUGUGAGAUUUUGGGCUUAUUCAACUAUAUUUUAGUUAAUAAUUUCUAGUUUAAUUAUAUUCUGGUCAGAAAGCAUAUUUUAUAUGAUUUCUACACUUUAAAUUUGUUAAGGUGUAUUUUAUAGCAGAAGCUUGGAUCUGACCUCUCAUUUCUUAUAACAUUAUUUUUAUUUCCCUUAUUCAUAAGCUAUAACCAUCUCUUAGAUAAAUUAAUAUUAGGAAUAAUAAAAUACUUUAUUUUUAUUUAUGUAUUCACUUAUCCUCUUUCUUUCUUUAUGUAGAUCCACGUUUCCAACCAUAUUACUUUUCUUCUUUCUGAAUAAUUUCUUUCAAUAUUUCUCAUAAGGCAGGUCUACUCACAGUGUUCUCUCAAUAUUUGUUUGUGAAAGUAUUUAUUUAUCUUCAGAUUUGAAGAAUGAUUUUGCUGAACAGAGCACUCUAAAUUGAUGAAAUUUUCCUUUCACUACUUCAAAUGUUUGUCUACCCUUUUCUUGCUUACAUUAUUUCUGAAAAUAAAAGUCCUAAAAUUCUUAUUUUUACACCUCUGUUGGUAAGGUGUUUAUUUUUUUCUUCCUCUGGCUUCUUUCAAGAUUAUCCCAUUGUCUUUGAUCUCCUGUAGUUUGAAUAUAAUAUGUCUGGAUAUGGUUGUGUCAAUAUUUUGUCAGCUUUUUGUUUUCUCAGCUUCCUGGAUCUGUAGUUUGAUGUCUAUCAUUCAAUUUGGGAAGUUUGCAGUCACUAUUGCUUUAAGUAUGUCUAUGUUACAUUCUCUUUUUUUUCUUCUUUCCAUAUUCCUAUUAAAAAUAUAUUGUGCUUUUAUGAUUAUUUCACAGUUAUUUGAUAUUCUGUUCUUCCUUUUUAAUUUUUUUCUUUGAAUUUCAGUUUUGGAAUUCUUUAUUGGCAUUUCUCGGUUCUUCAAAUUCAUGGAUUGUUUUCUCAUUUGUGCCUUUAGUGUAGCAAUGAGGUUUGAAGGGAGGGGAGAUGUUCAAAUUCCCAUGAUUAGGUCUGAGUGUUUUAGUGAGCAUGGUCUCAUGGGCUGUGACCUUCUUAAAUGGUGCUCAGUUUUUUUUUUUGUUGUUGUUGUUGUUUUGUUUUGUUUUCCUUAUAUAUGACAAGGAGCAUAGAGGGAGCUGGAGUCAGGGAUUUUUCUUCCCCAGGAUGGUUAGGCUCUAGCAGAACCCCAGUUGGUUAGGCUCUAGUAAAUCACCUUCUUUUGAAGUCAGGUGCUGAUAAAAGAAACAGAAUGCUCUGGGCAUAUUUCAAAAUGGCUCCCCAUAAUGACAGCAAGAAGGAAUUUUACUCUGAUCUUCAUUGUAAGGAUCUGGUAGGGUUCCUACAGAUAAACUUCAAAGACAUAUGAAACCCUCCUAAAAUUGGGCACCCCUGGCAUUUUUAACUCUUAAACUUAUCCACAUUGAGCUUUGAACAAUUUUUCAAUUGCAAUUUCUCUUUUCCAACUCUGGUACUGGUUUCCACAGGGAUCUCUGUUCCUGGGCUUCUGCUUCAGUAUGCUGUGAUUAUCUGCAUCUGCCUCUCUGCCUUUCCAAUUUCCAUCGCAGUAGUUUUCUGUUACCUGACCUCUUUGAUGAAUCUCAGAGAGUUGCUGAUUUUAUUCAGUUUAUUGAGUUUUUUGGUGUUAUUAUGACUUCCAAGCUGUUUACAUACUGCGUUAGAAAUCAAGUGUCACUUCUUUUGUUUUUAUUGCUGAAUAAUAUUCCAGUGUAUGUAUCUUAGAUUCCAGUGUACAUAUAUUAAAUCCUGGAAGACUUCCAAGUCUUAAAAAUUGAUGAUUUUUUAUUAUAUAACAUUCUCAGUUUGCCUUGGAGAUAUAUUUGAAAUCAAGCAUCAUUAUUUCUUGCUUGACAUAUCAGAGUGAAUUAGCUGUAAGGUCUGAUAAAUUUUUCAUCACCCUCACCUUCAGAUUAAAAAUUCUGAAAUGAUUGGUCAAUACCACAUUACAGAGUGGAAAAAUAUGGAAUUUAGUUUUGGGGGAUUCUGUAAUGGAAGAUGGAAUGUAUAUCUCAUCACAGCUCAUCUUGUAAGGAAAUUCUCAAAUGAAACGAAGGGUUUGAGAUGGUGGUCCAUCCAAAAUAAUAAUAAAAUUUAAUUGACCAGUAUCUAUAUACUUUGUCUCCAAAUACUUUUAUUUACAAAGAUUAAACUUAACUUCAGAUAAGAAGAUGAUGUAAUUUUACCACAGAAACCCGAAAAUGCAUUCCCAUGUCUCCUUUGGAGACAACUCAAGGCUUCAUGGGUUACUGAAGAUUCAAAGUAAGAUGUGUCACUAACUAAUGUCCUCUUUUCGUAUAGGUGUGUUAAAAUCCUGUCUUAUAUUCUGCUACUCAUGAGCAAGUUUGGGUGUCACAUGCUUAAGAUUACAGUGACACAAAGAUUGAAUAAUGAUGGAUCUCUGAGAUGUUGCUUGACAGACAGCCUCCAUGAAGAGUCAAGCAAACUGUUUCGAACUAUGACAUAAGCAAAAAAAACCAAAAAAAUAUGGUAAGUCAAAAGAUAUUUCAGUUUUAUUUGUCACGGAAGAAGAGCCUGGCCUACUCUGACUAAUGCCUAUACCAUGAUACUGCACAAAGCAAUCAGUAAGUGAAAAAAUAGUAGCCUAAACAAAAUAUGACAGGCAGGGAAAGAAAACAUAAAUAUUCAAUUAUUUCGGUAAGGAAAUUUUAUGGUACUCUCCAUAAUGGAAAUGAGAAAUGAUCUAUUCUCACCACCACAUUGCCUUCUUGGGUUAUAGUGCAUAAUGGAGGACACAUAAUUUAGCAUAUUUGAUUAAAAUUUGGCCACUCAGGAUGGGCAAUAGCAUGAUAGAGGGAUCAAGGAUACAUAACCUUCAUCUUUUCUUUCAUGAACUUUUUGCUCAUAUGCCCAUUAAGUAAGUGCAAAGGUGGCAGGGAAAAGGCUGAUUUCCACAGAGUAGGCAAUCUUGCUGUUAUUAUAUAUUAUCUCCCCCUGUAAAGUUUUUAGAAAUUAUUCAUUUAUGGAAGGAGUUAGUAGUCUCCUCAUUUGAGCUGCAUGCUUCUGAGCAUGCCUACAUUUAUGCCUAGAUGAAUCUAACACCAAAACACAAAAUAGUACGGAGUUGCUCAAGUAACAUAGUCACUUGGCAUCUGAUGGACAGGUACUUAGUUUUCACCUGGGUCUGUUUGCAGAUCAGCAGCUAUUUCUCAAAAGGAGUAUAUUUACUUCCUGGAGCAAGAAUGACUGUGCUCCAAAACCACAUGGCCUCUCUGCUGUGAUUGUGAUUCUCUUGUUGGGUUUUGCAACAUUGCCACAAGAUCAAUAAAGUAUCUUGAUCGCUCACAGACACUCUUCACAUUUACUAUUCUGCCUUCAGUUCUUUCCAACUCCUGAAAUCUGUCCAUUGUGCCUUUGGGAUUCCCUGUUCAUUAUUAGUAAAACUCUUUAGAUUCUCAAUAGAUUCUUCAAACACUUAUUUUACUUUCUUCCUCCAAUGGAAACUUCGCUCUCUCUAAGUACACUGUUUACCCUGUAGCAUUCCAAAUUGUUUUUCUUGUAAACACACACAUACACAUACACAUGCAUACACAUGCAUGCACACACACAUACACAAGUUUGGAAGAAAAUGGGGGGAAUGAACACACUGAUAGUUCCUCUUGCCAAUUUUAGGCAUUUCCUCCUCUCUUCCUAACAAUUACCAAAAUUGAUUUGUGUAGUAUCAAAUGCCCACUGACCCUCAUUGUUGCAAUUAUAUCCCAAGCCCCAGGUCAUCUCCCUGCAUUUCUUUACAAUAUUACCUUCUAGUCAGAGUUAAUCUUGCCAGACACACUUUCUCUUAAUUCCUCUACUCAUUUUGUCCUCUGUUCUACCUUAAACAUCAACUUCACCUCACUCUUGGAUACUGCUUCCUAUCUUCCCAGACCACUCCCCUUAAUGCCUCAACUUUGAUACUCUUUGGCUACCCUAAGACAUCCAAUCCAUUAAUUCCACCACAUUUUUACUGUCUCUCAAGUGUCUGAAUUGUUUAACUUCUCUCAUUAACUAUGUAAAUUUUAGCGGUUAAUAUUUAGUCAUUCCUUCAAUGUAGCCUUCAGCAUUGGACAUGUCUUUUGUUCUUCCUAUUCUCAACAAAAUUACAACUUUACAGAAUCUUUGCUGCCUAUUUUAUAUCUGUGAUUGUGCGACUAAAUUUGGAGAAUAAUAUCUAAGAAUAAUAAAGAAGUCUUAUUUUAAAUUGGUAGUCAUAAACAUUACGUUGAUCCUUAAUGCUGAAAAACGGAAAAGCAAUAAUUAUUCUUCCAUUUUUCUUGAUGUUAGUUUUUCUCUUUUCUCAAUUAUUCAUCCCCCUACACAGAAAGAAACUGGAUUUACACUCUCACCUGAAACAAUCCCCACCUACGAAAAAUAGCAGACAAAAUAUAUGGUGGAAUAAAAGUUUUGAAGUCACUGUACAUGAGGUUAAAAAAACAGCAACCUUGGGAGACAGGCAGCAAAUAUGUUUUUUGUUUAUUUACCCAGUUUACAGCAUUUACUUUUUGGGCUGAGGCACAGAAAGAGAAACCUAGAUAGCGCCUGAUUGAUUGACUUUUUUUCUCCAUAAUAGGUAUUAUUUUCUUCCCUUUUUAAAUUACAUGCCUGAUAAUUUUUAUAAAAUACCAGACAUUGAGAUUUUACUUUCUUGUCUGUGAAACUUUUAAAUUACUUGGAAACAUUUUAUCCUUUGGGUAUUAACUUUAAGAAUUACUGGGUUAGAUCAGAGCAGUCUUUAGUCUAGGGCUAAUUAUCUUCCAUUACACAAGCAAAUUCCUUGAACUGAGGAGGUUGAGGUCAGUGUCUAGGGAGACAAGGGUAGAGAAGACAGCUGCACAGAGAACUCCUGAGAUCUGUAGAGUAUCCCCUUUUAUAACUCAGGAGAAUAUUGAUUGGAGAUUAGGUAGGAAACUACCUAAGGCUAGAAAAGAAGCAUUUGAAAGUAUCAGAGGAAACUUGGCCCAAUACUUAAACAAGGCUGGGAAUAGUGAGUUUCUAUUGGCCAGUUGGAAAACCACAUAAUUUGCAGGGCAUUGGAGAGAAUACAGAGAAGAAUUUUGCUUGUGUAAUGGAAGAUAAUUAGCCCUAGACUAAAGACUGCUCUGAUCUAACCCAGUAAUUCUUAAAGUUAAUACCCAAAGGAUAAAAUGUUUCCAAGUAAUUUAAAAGUUUCACAGACAAGAAAGUAAAAUCUCAAUGUCUGGUAUUUUAUAAAAAUUAUCAGGCAUGUAAUUUAAAAAGGGAAGAAAAUAAUACCUAUUAUGGAGAAAAAAAGUCAAUCAAUCAAAAUUGGCUCACACUACUCAGAUAUUAGAAAUAAUAGACAUGAGCAUAUUAGAAAGUUAUAACUGAAGUUCACAUGUUUAAAAAGUUAGAAAUAGUUAUCUAAGAUAUAAACAUGACCUAAGUCAAACUUCCAAAGAUGAAAUCAAUAUUGUCUGAGAUGAAAAAAAAUACACUGAAUGGGAUUAGAGGUAGAUUCAAUAUUGCAGAUAAGAAGAGUAGUAAAUUUGAAGCUACAACCACAGGACCUAUCUAAAAUGAAACACACCAAUAAAAAUCAUUAGAACAAGUGAAAAGUUAGUUCAUCACUGAGCUGUUGGACAACUUUAAUUGGCCUAAUAUAUGUGUAAUUUGAGUCCCUUAGAUAUAUGAAAGAAAGGCUGUUACAAAAAAUAUUUGAAGAAAUAAUGACUAAAAUAUUUCCAAAAUUGUCAAAAAAUAUAUAUCUAAAAACCCAAAAAGUUAAACAAGCCCAAGCACAAGAAACACAUAUAAAACUAUACCAAGAUAAGUAAUAAUUAAAUUUUUUUUAAAACAAUGAUAAAGACAAAAUUGACAUAUGGGGUCUAAUUAAACUUAAGAGCACCUGCACAGUAAAAUAGACUAUCAACAGAGUAAAUAGACAACCUACAGAAUGGGAGAAAAAUUUUGCAAACUAUGCAUCUGACAAAGGUUUAAUACCCAGCAUCUAUAAGAAACUUAAACAAAUUUACAAGAGAACAAACAACCUCAUUAAAAAGUACAAAAGAUAUGAAUAGACAUUUUUCAAAAGAAAAUAUACAUGCAGCCAACAAGAAUUUGAAAAAAAGCUCAACAUCACUGAUCAUUAGAGAAAUGUAAAUCAAAACCACAAUAAGAUAGUACCUCACACUAGUCAGAAUGGUUAUUAAGGUCAAAAAUAACAGAUGCUGAUGAGUUGUGGAGAAAAAUGAAUGCUUAUACACUGUUAGUGGGAGUGUAAAGUAGUUCAACCAUUGUGGAAAGCAGUAUGGUGAUUCCUCAAAGAGCUAACAGCAGAACUUCCAUUUGACCCAGCAAUCCCAUAACUGGUAUAUACUCAGAGAAAUAAAAAUCAUUCUACCAUAAAGUCACAUGCAUGUGAAUGUUCAUUGCAGCACUAUUCACAGCAGCAAACACAGGAAAUCAACACAAAUGCCCAUCAAUGACAAAUUGGGUAAAGAAAAUAUGGUAUAUAUACGUCAUGGACUACUAUGCAGUCAUAAAAAAGAAAAAAAGAUCAUGUCUUUUGCAGAAACAUGAAUAAAGGUGGGGACUAUUAGUUUUAGCAAACUAACACAGAAACAGAAAACUAAAUACCACAUGUUCUCAUUUAUAAGUGCAAGCUAAAUGAUGAGAACUCAUGAACACAAAGAAGGGAACAACAGACAUUUGGGUCUACUUGAGGGUGAAGGAUGGGAGGAGGGAGAGAAACAGCAAAAAAUAACUGUUGAGUACUAGGCUUAAUACCUGGCUGAUCUAAUAAUCUAUACAACAAAACCCUAUGACACUAGUUUACCUCAUAACAAACCUGCACAUGUACCCCUGAACCUAAAAUAAAAGUUAUAAAAAUAAAUAAAUAUAAUAUAUAUAUAAAAUUCUAAAAUAAAUAAGAGGCGAAAAAAACUUACUUUGUGCAAAGGAAAAAAUAAAAGUAAUAGCAGAUUUCUCAUCAGAAAAAUGCAAUAUAGAAAAAUGUAUUGCAACAUUUUCAAGUUACACAAAUAUAAAAAUAAACAAACAAACAUCUAAUUUGAUAUUCAGCAGAAAUAAGUUUCAAAAUUAGAGGGUAAAUUUCUAGUUCCAGGAUGUAAUGUUGUAGAUUCAAUUUUCCUUGCUACUCUUCUCUAAAUAAAACUAAAAUCCUUGGAAAUAAUUCAACAGCCGGCUAUUACAUGGUUCUGAAAUUUGGAAAGAAAGUGGACUGUCUAGGACAUCAGAGUUUGAAGAAAGAUGCCAGAAUGGAUUGCUUGUGUUUUUGUCUUAUCGAUCCCCAACUGUGGGUGAAGAUGCUUGUAACCCAGAACCACAAUUGAGAUGCAAUACUUGUUCUCAAUAAGACCUCAACAUAAAAGCCAAAACAUGGCCACCUGCAGAGGCAAGAUGUACCUCUGACUUCAUAUCUGGUUUAGAUGCCACACAUGUAUCAAGAGGAUAUGAGAAGGUUUAUCACUCACAUAAUGAGACUUUUUAGGAACCCAGGACAACUAACAAGCAGCCUAGCACCCCAGAUCGGUGAGGGAGAUGGAAGUUCCAUUGAAUGCCUGCUCAAGAGUCAAGUGCUGUGUGUUGUGAGAAUUGAUAUGAAUGCCUCGUUCACUAUCCCUGAUAUCCGGAGCUCUAAAAAGGAUAAGGGAUUCUAAAUGCAAAUGAAGGAGUCACUCAUCAAAGGCUUCUAUGGCUAAACUUCAUGACUAUAUACUAAACAGGAAUCUAACCAAGAAACUCACAGCUGCUCUUGAGAAGAUGCCCUGCUAAACCACUAAGACAAAAAUCACUUUUUAUGACCUCACCCAGUAUUUGAUAGAAAGAGAUUAGCAGCUUGCCUGUAAUCUACUCUCUUCAUUUACUGGGAGAUUCUCUGCAAAGAGAAGUGACCCAAUCAAAUUUCCUUGCCAAAUACAUUGUUGGUAUGUUGUGGUGGACGUAUCUGCAUAUAGAAUGCUUUAGCAAGAUAACCCUGGUCUCUUGAGAAUUGCUUAUGGUGAAGAAACCCGAAAUCCAUCGAUUCAUGGAGUAUGACUUUAUAAGAAAUAUCAUGUAACCUGUAACUGUUACAGUAUACAACGAAGUUUUGUGAAUAAACAGCUUACUUAUGUGCAAGUAAUGGCUGCAUACAUUUCUUACAGUCAUUGAUUGUUAAAUCUUGACCAGAAUCUGUCCUAAUGUGAGAAGAAAGGACCUAGAAAGCUUCUGGGUAAAUGAUUACAUAUAUAUACAUAAUCUUAUUCAAUUUCAUGUGCACUUGAGUUUAUUGGUAAAGUUUAAUAUAAAAUAAAUUUUCUAAUUUGUGUGAGUCUCAUUUGACAAUCCAACCAUGUGUCUUUGUUCAGGGUGUUCCCAAACAAAUUGUCUUUCAGAACUUUGAAGUACAAUGUCUAAUAAAGAAGAGGGAAUUAAAAAUAUGAUGAGAAUUUGAUGUCCUUUGUGUUAUCUCAGUUAUAUCCCUGUGACUUUGUACAAUUUAUAUAGCUGCUCACACACUAAACUCUCUGUUUCAUUAUUGGCCUCUUGGAAUAAAUUUUAC